rnacentral:rRNA from 1 species
GACGAACGCUGGCGGCGUGCUUAACACAUGCAAGUCGAACGGAAAGGCCCUGCUUUUGUGGGGUGCUCGAGUGGCGAACGGGUGAGUAACACGUGAGUAACCUGCCCUUGACUUUGGGAUAACUUCAGGAAACUGGGGCUAAUACCGGAUAGGAGCUCCUGCUGCAUGGUGGGGGUUGGAAAGUUUCGGCGGUUGGGGAUGGACUCGCGGCUUAUCAGCUUGUUGGUGGGGUAGUGGCUUACCAAGGCUUUGACGGGUAGCCGGCCUGAGAGGGUGACCGGCCACCUUGGGCCUGAGAUACGGCCCAGACUCCUACGGGAGGCAGCAGUGGGGAAUAUUGCACAAUGGGCGGAAGCCUGAUGCAGCAACGCCGCGUUCGUGAUGACGGCCUUCGGGUUGUAAACCGCUUUCGCCUGUGACGAAGCGUGAGUGACGGUAAUGGGUAAAGAAGCACCGGCUAACUACGUG